UAACUGAAGAGUUUGAUCAUGGCUCAGAUUGAACGCUGGCGGCAGGCUUAACACAUGCAAGUCGAGCGGGGAAAGGUAGCUUGCUACAUUU
rnacentral:rRNA from 1 species